GGAAGAGGUAUUACUCUGAUGCCUAAAGGGAAGAGGUACUCUGAUGCCUAAAGGGAAGAGGUAUUACUCUGAUGCCUAAAGGAAAGAGGUAUUACUCUGAUUCCUAAAAGGAAGAGGUAUUACUCUGAUGCCUAAAGGGAAGAGGUAUUACUCUGAUGCCUAAAGGGAAGAGGUAUUACUCUGAGGGAAAGCUUAACAGUCCCUCAUUAACCACCUUUUCUAAUCAAUCCUCUCUACUCUCCAGUUCCUCAUUUGUCACUCAAUUGUGGAUCAAUGGAGUGUUGUGGAGAGGGAGGCCUCUGAGGACUGAAACUGGCAGUAAUGGUUGGCAGUGGACUCCUGGUUCGUAUAGCAGAGAUGUGCAAACCUUUUGGCUUAAGGGUCACAAAUGGUAUUUUGGAAUUCUACAGAGGGACGUACAUGUUUUUUUAUACAAUUGGUAGAGCAUGAUUCUUUGGCAGAGCAUGGUACUUUGGCACAGCAUGGCAGAUUGGCAGAGUAUGGUACUUUGGAAGAGCAUGGUACUUUGGUAGAGCAUGGUACUCUGGUAGUGCAUGGCACAUUUGUGGAGCAUGACAGUUUGGUAGAUCAUGGCAGUUUGGUAGAUCAUGACAGUUUGGUAGAUCAUGACAGUUUGGUAGAUCAUGACAGUUUGGUAGAUCAUGGGAGUUUGGUAGAGCAUGACAGUUUGGUAGAUAAUGGGAGUUUUCUAGAUCAUGGCAGUGUGGUAGAUCAUGGCAGUUGUUAGAGCAUGACAGUUUGGUAGAUCAUGGCAGUUUGGUAGAGCAUGACAGUUUGGUAGAUCAUGACAGUUUGGUAGAUCAUGACAGUUUGGUAGAUCAUGACAGUUUGGUAGAUCAUGGGAGUUUGGUAGAGCAUGACAGUUUGGUAGAUAAUGGGAGUUUUCUAGAUCAUGGCAGUGUGGUAGAUCAUGGCAGUUGUUAGAGCAUGACAGUUUGGUAGAUCAUGGCAGUUUGGUAGAGCAUGACAGUUUGGUAGAUCAUGACAGUUUGGUAGAUGAUGGCAGUUUGGUAGAGCAUGACAGUUUGGUAGAUUAUGGCAGUUUGCUAGAUCAUGGCAUUUUUGUAGAUCAUGACAGUUUGGUAGAUCAUGGCAGUUUGCUAGAUCAUGGCAUUUGGUAGAGCAUGACAGUUUGGUAGAUCAUGACAGUUUGGUAGAUCAUAGCAGUUUGGUAGAACAUGACAGUUUGGUAGAUCAUGGCAGUUUGCUAGAUCAUGGCAUUUUUGUAGAUCAUGGCAGUUUGGUAGAACAUGACAGUUUGGUAGAUCAUGGCAGUUUGCUAGAUCAUGGCAUUUUUGUAGAUCAUGGCAGUCUGGUAGAGCAUGACAGUUUGGUAGAUCAUGACAGUUUGGUUGAUCAUGACAGUUUGGUAGAUCAUGACAGUUUGGUAGAUCAUGGCAGUUUGCUAGAUCAUGGCAGUUUGGUUGAUCAUGGCAGUUUGCUAGAUCAUGGCAGUUUGGUGGAUCAUGGCAGUUGUGUCAAAGGUUCUGAGUUUAGUCAUUGGAGGCAACCCACACAUACGUUGAAUGCAUAAUGAUCCAACGUCACUUUGGAUGAAAGAAUAAUUUAACCAGUAGAAAGUUCUCUGUGUUAUGGAUAAUGACAGCUAUUUCCCAUCACCGAAUCCUGUAUUAACACAAACCCUAAUUUUCUGUACCCUAGGAUGGAAUUUAAUCUGUAGAGAGCUGUUGACAAAGGAAUCUUUUGAAAGCUAUGGUGUUAAAAGGCGAUCCAUGCCUUUGUCUACUGAAGGAAAACUAUGUACAGAGCUGGGUUGGCUCAAUUAAAAUUGAAGUCAG
ensembl:lncRNA